rnacentral:rRNA from 1 species
GAUCAUGGCUCAGGACGAACGCUGGCGGCGCGCCUAACACAUGCAAGUCGAACGAGAGAGAAGGAGCUUGCUUCUUCGAUCGAGUGCGAACGGGUGAGUAACGCGUGAGGAACCUGCCUCAAAGAGGGGGACAACAGUUGGAAACGACUGCUAAUACCGCAUAAGCCCACGGGUCGGCAUCGACCUGAGGGAAAAGGAGCAAUCCGCUUUGAGAUGGCCUCGCGUCCGAUUAGCUGGG